UACAGAGGUCCCAAGCGUUGUUCGGAUUCACUGGGCGUAAAGGGUGCGUAGGCGGUUGGGUAAGUCUGUCGUGAAAUCUCCGAGCCUAACUCGGAAACUGCGUCGGAUACUAUUCAACUCGAGGAAUGGAGGGGAGACUGGAAUUCUCGGUGUAGCAGUGAAAUGCGUAGAUAUCGAGAGGAACACCAGUGGCGGAGGCGAGUCUCUGGACAUUUCCUGACGCUGAGGCACGAAAGCCAGGGGAGCAAACGGG
rnacentral:rRNA from 1 species